rnacentral:misc_RNA from 1 species
GAUGAAGAACGUAGCGAAAUGCGAUAAGUAAUGUGAAUUGCAGAAUUCAGUGAAUCAUCGAAUCUUUGAACGCGCAUUGCGCCCGCCAGCACUCUGGCGGGCAUGUCUGUUCGAGCGUCAUUUCAACCAUCAAGCCCCCAGGGGCAUGUGCUGGGGCCCUGCGGCUGCCCGCAGGCCCUGAAAACCAGUGGCGGGCUCGCUAGUCACAUCGAGCGCAGUAGCACAUCUCGCUCUGGGCGUGCGGCGGGCUCCUGCCGUGAAACCCCCCACUGUAACCCCAAAGGUUGACCUCGGAUCAGGUAGGAAUACCCGCUGAACUUAAGCAUAUCAAUAAGCGGAGGA